rnacentral:rRNA from 1 species
CCUACGGGUGUCAGCAGUAGGGAAUUUUGCGCAAUGGGCGAAAGUCUGACGCAGCAACGCCGCGUGAACGUGACGCCCUUCGGGGCGUUAAGCUUUGUUAGUGGGGACGAAAGAUGACGGUACCAUCAGAGGAAGCACCGGCUAACACCGUGCCAGCAGCCGCGGUAAUACGGAGGGGGCAAGCGUAGUCCGAGAUCAUUGGGUGUAAGGGGUUCGUAGGCGGUAGGUAAAGUCUGGUGUUAAAUGCAGAAGCUAAAGUUCUGUUUGGCACUGGAUACUGGCAAGCUAGAAUGCGGUAGAGGUAAAGGGAAUGCCUGGUGUAGCGGUGAAAUGCAUAGAUAUCAGGAAGAACAUCGAUGGCGUAAGCGCUUUACUGGGCCGUGAUUGACGCUGAGGAACGAAAGCCAGUGUAGCAAAUGGGAUUAGAUACCCCAGUAGUC